AGGCCUAACACAUGCAAGUCGAACGGGAAUAGGGAGCUUGCUCCCUAUGAGAGUGGCGCACGGGUGCGUAACGCGUAUGCAACCUACCUGUAACUGGGGGAUAGCUCACCGAAAGGUGAAUUAAUACCGCAUAACAUCACGAAGAGGCAUUUCUUUGUGAUCAAAACUCCGGUGGUUACAGAUGGGCAUGCGUGUCAUUAGCUAGUUGGUGAGGUAACGGCUCACCAAGGCGACGAUGACUAGGGGAUCUGAGAGGAUGACCCCCCACACUGGUACUGAGACACGGACCAGACUCCUACGGGAGGCAGCAGUAAGGAAUAUUGGACAAUGGGGGCAACCCUGAUCCAGCCAUGCCGCGUGCAGGAAGACGGCCCUAUGGGUUGUAAACUGCUUUUGUCGGGGAAGAAACCCUUCUACGUGUAGGAGGUUGACGGUACUCGAAGAAUAAGGAUCGGCUAACUCCGUGCCAGCAGCCGCGGUAAUACGGAGGAUCCGAGCGUUAUCCGGAUUUAUUGGGUUUAAAGGGUGCGUAGGUGGCUUUGUAAGUCAGUGGUGAAAGUUUUCAGCUUAACUGGAAAAUUGCCAUUGAUACUGCAGGGCUUGAGUUCAGAUGAGGUAGGCGGAAUGUGUCAUGUAGCGGUGAAAUGCAUAGAUAUGACACAGAACACCGAUUGCGAAGGCAGCUUACUAAACUGAAACUGACACUGAGGCACGAAAGCGUGGGGAUCAAACAGGAUUAGAUACCCUGGUAGUCCACGCCCUAAACGAUGAUCACUCGAUGUGUGCGAUAUACAGUACGCGUCCAAGCGAAAGCGUUAAGUGAUCCACCUGGGGAGUACGCCGGCAACGGUGAAACUCAAAGGAAUUGACGGGGGCCCGCACAAGCGGAGGAGCAUGUGGUUUAAUUCGAUGGUACGCGAGGAACCUUACCCGGGCUUGAAAGUUAGUGAAGGAUCUAGAAAUAGAUCCGUCCGCAAGGACACGAAACUAGGUGCUGCAUGGCUGUCGUCAGCUCGUGCCGUGAGGUGUUGGGUUAAGUCCCGCAACGAGCGCAACCCCUAUGAAUAGUUGCCAGCAUGUAAAGG
rnacentral:rRNA from 1 species